rnacentral:tRNA from 1 species
AUUUUUAAGGUGUCACUAACAUAUAGUCCUUUCAAGACUAAGCAAACUUUAAGUUUAAAAAUU